rnacentral:rRNA from 1 species
UGGGGAAUUUUGGACAAUGGGCGAAAGCCUGAUCCAGCCAUGCCGCGUGCAGGAUGAAGGCCUUCGGGUUGUAAACUGCUUUUGUACGGAACGAAAAGACUCCUUCUAAUAAAGGGGGUCCAUGACGGUACCGUAAGAAUAAGCACCGGCUAACUACGUGCCAGCAGCCGCGGUAAUACGUAGGGUGCAAGCGUUAAUCGGAAUUACUGGGCGUAAAGCGUGCGCAGGCGGUUAUAUAAGACAGAUGUGAAAUCCCCGGGCUCAACCUGGGAACUGCAUUUGUGACUGCAUGGCUAGAGUACGGUAGAGGGGGAUGGAAUUCCGCGUGUAGCAGUGAAAUGCGUAGAUAUGCGGAGGAACACCGAUGGCGAAGGCAAUCCCCUGGACCUGUACUGACGCUCAUGCACGAAAGCGUGGGGAGCAAACA